rnacentral:rRNA from 1 species
GAUGAACGCUGGCGGCGUGCCUAAUACAUGCAAGUCGAGCGAACAGAUGAGGAGCUUGCUCCUCUAACGCUAGCCGCGGGCGGGUGAGUAACACGUGGAUAAUCCACUUAUAAUAGUGGGAUAACUUGGGAACACCGGAGCUAAUACCGGAGAAUCUCUUGAACCGCAUUGUGCAAUAGUGAAAGACGGUGUUUCUGUAACUUAUAGCUGGAUCUGCGCCUCAUUAGCUAGUUGGUAAGGUAACGGCUUACCAAGGGAACUAUGCGUGGUCGACGUGCGAGGGGGAUAGGCCGCACAGGAAGUGCAACACGGUCCGGACGCCUACGGGAGGCAGCAGAAGGGAAUGUUCGGCAGAGGGCGAAAGCCUGACGGAGCAACGGCGAGUGAGUGAUAAAGGUCUUCGGUUCGUAAAACUCUGUUAUGAGGGAAGAACAGAUGUGUAAGUUACUGUGCACGUAUUGACGGUACAGAAUAAGAAAGCCACGGCUAACUACGUG